UUCUUGUUGAGCGCUCAGGACCAAGACCUGUGGUUGUUACUUGUUAAAAUCACAGGGUUGUUUGCAAGUUAAUGCAUUACCUUUGUGGGGACAAGCCAGUGCCAUCUGUGAAGGUCUGUAGGAGCUGUGGUUGGGUCCUGCCCCAGCACAGUUUUCACAUGCUGCUUCUCCUGCCUUCAGACAAGUUCUUCUUUGUCACAGUGUUUGGCAUGCACUGAAAUUUCUACAGGAAUUGGAAGGCUGCCUGGCUGUUCAGUUCAGGAGAAGGAAGUUGAGUUACUGCCCCUGACAGACAUCUCUGUCAACUCUUCAGGAUGUCAAUGCUGAAAUCAAAGACUGCAAGUGCAUCCUACCUAGACUGCUCAAGUGACAAGUGACAGGCUGAUGCUAAAGUGACUGCAGUGUCAGCUGCUGAGAGCCUCCGGCAAUGUGCAGCAGGGCUGAAAAAAAGAAUAACUUCCAAAGGAACCACAGCACAGCAUGGAAAAACAUGCCAGCAAUUGCACAGGAUGCAGUCUGGGUCGAUGCUGUAUCUUUAUGUGCUUGUCUGUCUGCUCAGUGUGGACACAUUUCCGCAUGCUGCACCAAUUCCUGUGCAUCUGUACCUCCUGAAGGGCACUGCCAGCAGGAAUUCUCCUCCUUCAGUCCUUGUGCCUGCCUGUGCUCAGAUCCUCUCGCCCACAGUUGCUGCCAAGCCCUAUCUGUGACCUCAGCCCAGCGAGCGCCUGCGUGGGCACAGCUUUGCACUUCUGGUGCUUCAGUGGCGUGUGAUGCUCACUGCCUUAUGCUCCAGUGGCUGAGAUCUGAUCUCUGA
rnacentral:lncRNA from 1 species